rnacentral:lncRNA from 1 species
UCUAGUUGGGUUGCCAGAUCGAUGAGAAUUAAUAAUUAAUGUUGUUUGACCGACUGGUACGUAAGAGGUUCAUUAAUGUUGGAACUGUAUGAUUAGUCAAUCGUGUUAGGUUGUUUUUUCCAGUGAAAAUUGGAUUGAAUGCUCACUAAGUCUACGUACCGACACAGAAAAAAAAAAGAAAAAAAAAAGGAAUGUCGGUCUGGCUUUGUGGGUUAACGACGGACAUGAACGAACCCACAUUUUUA